UACAGAGGGUGCAAGCGUUGUUCGGAAUCAUUGGGCGUAAAGGGCGCGUAGGCGGUCGUGACAAGUCACUUGUGAAAUCUCCGGGCUUAACUCGGAACGGUCAAGUGAUACUGUCGGACUAGAGUACAGAAGGGGCAACUGGAAUUCUCGGUGUAGCGGUGAAAUGCGUAGAUAUCGAGAGGAACACCUGCGGCGAAGGCGGGUUGCUGGGCUGAUAACUGACGCUGAGGCGCGGAAAGCUAGGGUAGCAAACGGG
rnacentral:rRNA from 1 species